rnacentral:rRNA from 1 species
AUGGGGGAGCUGCGCCCAUUCCGCGUCAACAGCGACAACAGAACCCUCAGCACAAACGAGCACGCCUGGACCAACGUGGCUAACGUGCUCUUCCUCGAAUCGCCUGCCGGCGUCGGAUUUUCCUACUCCAACACGACCUCCGACUACAACAAGAGCGGAGACCAGAGGACAUCGGAGGACGCGUUCCUCUUCCUCGUCAGCUGGUUCGAGAGGUUCCCGGGGUACAAGGGCCGCUCCUUCUACAUCUCCGGGGAGAGCUACGCCGGCCACUACGUGCCGCAGCUCGCAGCCACCAUCUUGAGCCACAACACUUCCAUAAACCUACAGGGUAUUUUGGUGGGCAACCCAUAUCUUGAUGAUAACAUGAACACAAAAGGGGUGACCGACUUCCUGUGGGGCCAUGCGGUGAUAUCAGAUGAGGUGUACGCCAACAUCACCAAGAGCUGCAACUUCAAUCUGUCGGAUGGAAGCGCAUGCUCUGACGCCAUGGCCGCAUAUGAUACUGCCAACACUCUCCUCUUCGACAUUUACGGACCUGUUUGUAUCGACGCACCCGACGGAAAAUACUACCCCAGCCGCUAUGUAAGAUAUACGUAUUUUGGAGUACAUCUUUUCUGA